UACGUAGGGGGCUAGCGUUGUCCGGAAUCAUUGGGCGUAAAGAGCGUGUAGGCGGCCCGGUAAGUCCGCUGUGAAAGUCGGGGGCUCAACCCUCGAAAGCCGGUGGAUACUGUCGGGCUAGAGUGCGGAAGAGGCGAGUGGAAUCCUGGUGUAGCGGUGAAAUGCGCAGAUAUCAGGAAGGAACACCGAUGGCGAAGGCAGCU
rnacentral:rRNA from 1 species